rnacentral:lncRNA from 1 species
GGGAGGGGGGAGGGGGUGUGGGCCCCAGCCCACCCCACCCCAGGGAAUGCAGGGGAGAGGGCCUGGGCCUGGCCUUGCUGCUGGUCCCCUGGGGACUUCUGAGGGCCCGCGGGGGUCCCUGGGUCACAGUGCAGCCACACUGGCCUCUGGGCUCCUUUCAUCCACAGGCCGCCUGGUGAGCCCCGCAGCCUCACCCACGUGGGGAGGGGCUGCUGAGGCCUCCUUGCCUUUCUUGGUGGGCGCCCUACGCCUCGGGGGUCCUACCCUCCUCUUCUGUGCAGCCCCAACGUGGCUUUGCCCCCUUCUCCAAACUUCUGCCUUGGGCCAUGGGGCGCAGGCCGUGGGGAUGCUGUCUGCCUGCUUUAGAGAAACCUGGGGCACCGAUGACAAAUACAGGCUCUGCUUGGCCUGUGGGACGGUUGCAUCCUGGGCCUUCCGGUGGUGUCAGGAGACUCCAGGCCCUUGAAAGGCAGCUGCGACCCCGGGUAUGACUCGGAGAAGUCCAGGAGCAGGAAAUGGGCUGCAUUCCUUCGGGGCCCCUCCGUGCACCCCAGCCCCUCCCUGGGAGAGCUGCCCUGAGGUCAGGAAAGUGCCGUCCUGGCAAGACCCUCAGCAGCUGCCGCCCACAGGACAGUCAGCGUUUUCAAGCAUGGGAAGGAAAAUAAACACGAGGUUAAAAAGGGGUCUGUUGGCCCCGGGCUGGUUUGUUUUUCCUGUGUAAGGGAGGCAACGGGAAUGAGAACCAUCUGUGCCCUGAGCGCAGCGCAAGCUGCCUGCUGGGCCCACGUGCCCUCCCCCAAAG